GCAUGUCUAAGUAUAAGCAAAUUAUACCGUGAAACUGCGAAUGGCUCAUUAAAUCAGUUAUCGUUUAUUUGAUAGUACCUUACUACUUGGAUAACCGUGGUAAUUCUAGAGCUAAUACAUGCUGAAAACCCCGACUUCGGGAGGGGUGUAUUUAUUAGAUAAAAAACCAAUGCCCUCCGGGGCUCCUUGGUGAUUCAUAAUAACUUAACGGAUCGCAUGGCCUUGCGCCGGCGACGGUUCAUUCAAAUUUCUGCCCUAUCAACUUUCGAUGGUAAGGUAUUGGCUUACCAUGGUUUCAACGGGUAACGGGAGAUUAGGGUUUGACUCCGGAGAGGGAGCCUGAGAAACGGCUACCACAUCCAAGGAAGGCAGCAGGCGCGCAAAUUACCCAAUCCCGACACGGGGAGGUAGUGACAAUAAAUACUGAUACAGGGCUCUUUUGGGUCUUGUAAUUGGAAUGAGUACAAUUUAAACCCCUUAACGAGGAACAAUUGGAGGGCAAGUCUGGUGCCAGCAGCCGCGGUAAUUCCAGCUCCAAUAGCGUAUAUUAAAGUUGUUGCAGUUAAAAAGCUCGUAGUUGAACCUUGGGCCUGGCUGGCCGGUCCGCCUCACCGCGUGCACUGGUCCGGCCGGGCCUUUCCUUCUGGAGAGCCCCAUGCCCUUCACUGGGUGUGCGGGGGAACCAGGACUUUUACUUUGAAAAAAUUAGAGUGUUCAAAGCAGGCCUUUGCUCGAAUACGUUAGCAUGGAAUAAUAGAAUAGGACGUGCGGUCCUAUUUUGUUGGUUUCUAGGACCGCCGUAAUGAUUAAUAGGGAUAGUCGGGGGCAUCCGUAUUCAAUUGUCAGA
rnacentral:rRNA from 1 species